GAUGAACGCUGGCGGCGUGCCUAACACAUGCAAGUCGAACGCCCCGCAAGGGGAGUGGCAGACGGGUGAGUAACACGUGGGAACGUACCCUUUGGUUCGGAAUAACUUGGGGAAACUCAAGCUAAUACCGGAUAAGCCCUUAUGGGGAAAGGUUUACUGCCGAAGGAUCGGCCCGCGUCUGAUUAGCUAGUUGGUGAGGUGAUGGCUCACCAAGGCGACGAUCAGUAGCUGGUCUGAGAGGAUGAUCAGCCACACUGGGACUGAGACACGGCCCAGACUCCUACGGGAGGCAGCAGUGGGGAAUAUUGGACAAUGGGGGCAACCCUGAUCCAGCCAUGCCGCGUGAGUGAUGAAGGCCUUAGGGUUGUAAAGCUCUUUUACCCGGGACGAUAAUGACUGUACCGGGAGAAUAAGCCCCGGCUAACUUCGUGCCAGCCGCCGCAGUAA
rnacentral:rRNA from 1 species